GCAAGUCGAGGGGUAACAGGGAUUGCUUGCAAUCCGCUGACGACCGGCGCACGGGUGCGUAACGCGUAUGAAACCUGCCUUUUACAGGGGGAUAGCCCAGAGAAAUUUGGAUUAAUAUCCCAUAGUUCCUAUGUAUCGCCUGAUAUAUAGGAUAAAGCUUCGGCGGUAAAAGAUGGUCAUGCGUGACAUUAGCUAGUUGGUAAGGUAACGGCUUACCAAGGCGACGAUGUCUAGGGGUUCUGAGAGGAAGGUC
rnacentral:rRNA from 1 species